CCUACGGGUGGCAGCAGUGAGGAAUAUUGGUCAAUGGGCGCGAGCCUGAACCAGCCAAGCAGCGUGAAGGAAGACGGCCCUAUGGGUUGUAAACUUCUUUUGUAGGGGAAUAAAGUCCAGGACGAAUACCGCAUUGCGUGUAUCUGAUGAAAAAGCAUCGGCUAACUCCGUGCCAGCAGCCGCGGUAAUACGGAGGAUGCGAGCGUUAUCCGGGUUUAUUGGGUUUAAAGGGUUCGUAGGUGGGUUUGUAAGUCAGUCGUGAAAGUUUGCGGCUCAACCCUAUAAUUGCCGUUGAUACUGGCAGACUUGAGUUGACGAGAGGUACGCGGAAUUCGCGGUGUAGCGGUGAAAUGCAUAGAUAUCGCGCAGAACUCCGAUUGCGAAGGCAGCCUACUGGACCGAGACUGACGCUGAUGCUCGAAAGCGUGGGGAUCAAACAGGAUUAGAUACCCUUGUAGUC
rnacentral:rRNA from 1 species